rnacentral:lncRNA from 1 species
GUAUGAAAGGUGGGUAGCCGGCCGAGUGCCCUCUGGAGACGAUGCUGCUGCUCCUGCUGGGUCUGGUGCUGAGCCUGGCCUUGGCCCAGAAGCUCUACCCCGAGGGAGAUUGUGGAGCAAGACUUCAACAUGACCAGGGCCGCAGGGUCCUGGUCCUCCAUCUCCUUGGCCUCUGACAACGUGAUGUGGAUCGGAGUCAAUGGGGACCUGCACCUCUUCAUUCGGACCAUCGAGCUGCUACUGAACAGCAGCCUCCUGUUUCAUUUCCGCUUCUGACCGGGGGAAAACAAGGGUGCUCAUCUUGGAGACUGACUACUGGAUGUACAUCAUCUUCUACCUGAGGAGCGUCCGGUUCGCGCAUCGAGACCCAAGUGCUGGCGCUCUACGGUACUGACCCCUGGCUGCCAGGGACCCCAGACCCUGGCUUGGGCAGCGGCACUCUGCACAGCCCCAGACCUGGGCAGGGGCUCCCUGAGUCCUCACAGGACGGGCCUUGGCACCCCAGACCCUGCCUAUGACGCAGUCCCCCAGUCUGUCCUCAGGGCGCAUCCCAGUGCUCAGCGACCCCUUGCUGGACAGAUUUGAAAAGGCCUACAGGAAGUACGGGAUGGGUCCAAGAAACACCAUCAAUCUGGCCGAGAAAGAUCUCUGCCAGUACUAGUGGAAGAGGGGAGCUGGCCCAGCCUUAGGGUGAGUGGGCUCUGACGGGCGUGGGAUGGGCAUGGUGGGGUGGCGGGGGGGCCCCGGAUGGCGGUGGCUUGGUGUCAGAGGCCAGGGUCUCAGCUCAGAAGGGCCACAGGUGCAUUUCUCCAAGCCCAUCCCUCACCGGACUGCUGGGUUUUCCUGGAACACAGAGAGUGUGGUGGCUGGUGGAGUGCUGAACACUCCCAGGUCGGGUUUCCCGGGGCCUUGUGGGCUGCAGUCGGGGCAGCACAGGAUGUGAGCCGCAGGAGGGCGCUGUGCAGUGAAGACUUACUCUCUCGAAGCUCUGCAGUCUGCCUGUCCAGGACCCAGGUGUUGAGAGGCCGAACCCCCCAGGGCUCCAGGGUCCUCCUGGCUCAUCCAGCUGCUGGUGGCUCCAGGUGGCCCAUGGCUCAGCCUGGCUCACCCGAACCUCUGCCUCUGUGUACACGCGGCCCCAACUUCCUGUGGCUGCUCUUCCACCUCCCUGUAAUGAUGCUGUCUUAGCUCUGGGGCCCAGAAGCGGAGGCCUCUCACCCAGCACCCUGACUCUAGCACAUCUGUAGGAGCCUUUUCCAAAUAAACCUCAUCCUUAGGUCCAG